rnacentral:pre_miRNA from 1 species
UGGCGAUUGUGGGUUUAGUCCACGUUUUAGUAAACCGUGACUAGAUCCAUACUCGUCUAU